AUUUUGUGUUUGUUUUUCAGGCCAACGCUCCUCCAGGUCAGUCUUGUCCUUUGUACGUCAUAAUAAUUAAAGAGUAGAGUUUGUAAAGAUUUGAGUUUGUAUUUAUUUCUUUGCUUUGUUAACAAUAGUGAGAAUGGUGAAAUACAGGCGGGCCAAGACAACCAGCAGCAACUGUACUCUUCUCUUCUCCACGGCGACAUUAAUGUGUAUGAACCUCUCAACCUCCCGAGAAAAACGAAUGAUGAACAUCUUGAAAACUACAACAAUUUUCCGCCCAGGUCCAUUUAACGUCACUGAUUUUUCAUAUUUAAUGCAAGAACUUAAAGGUGCAGUGUGUAACUUUUCUGCUGGAGGCUCUGCUACUUGCAUGUCUCCUAGGAGAUGUUCCUGCUCUGCCUUGAUUAUUUCACACAUGGAAAUAAACUUGGUUAUCACAGUGGAGAAGUUAACAGUCAGAUCUACGGAGGGGCAAGUCUGUACAGAGCAACAAUUCAAAUUUUUCUUUUUUUCUUUGUUUUGUUUUUUGAGCUUCAAACACCUGUGACUGAAUAAAUCCAAGACUGUUGUGUUUAAUGCCAGACUGUGUAACAUUUCACUAGGGGUGUGCAAAAAUAUUGAAAUAUCGAUGUAUUUUAUUGUUUUAUGGUUUAAUGAUACAGGAUCGAUAUC